rnacentral:rRNA from 1 species
ACGAACGCUGGCGGCACGCUUAACACAUGCAAGUCGAACGAGAGAAGAGAAGCUUGCUUUUCUGAUCUAGUGGCGGACGGGUGAGUAACACGUGAGCAAUCUGCCUUUCAGAGGGGGAUACCGAUUGGAAACGAUCGUUAAUACCGCAUAAUAUAAUUGAACCGCAUGAUUUGAUUAUCAAAGAUUUAUCGCUGAAAGAUGAGCUCGCGUCUGAUUAGCUAGUUGGUAAGGUAACGGCUUACCAAGGCGACGAUCAGUAGCCGGACUGAGAGGUUGAUCGGCCACAUUGGGACUGAGACACGGCCCAGACUCCUACGGGAGGCAGCAGUGGGGAAUAUUGCACAAUGGAGGAAACUCUGAUGCAGCGAUGCCGCGUGAGGGAAGAAGGUUUUAGGAUUGUAAACCUCUGUCUUCAGGGACGAAAAAAGACGGUACCUGAGGAGGAAGCUCCGGCUAACUACGUGCCAGCAGCCGCGGUAAUACGUAGGGAGCGAGCGUUGUCCGGAAUUACUGGGUGUAAAGGGAGCGUAGGCGGGAUCGCAAGUCAGAUGUGAAAACUAUGGGCUUAACCCAUAAACUGCAUUUGAAACUGUGGUUCUUGAGUGAAGUAGAGGUAAGCGGAAUUCCUAGUGUAGCGGUGAAAUGCGUAGAUAUUAGGAGGAACAUCAGUGGCGAAGGCGGCUUACUGGGCUUUAACUGACGCUGAGGCUCGAAAGCGUGGGGAGCAAACAGGAUUAGAUACCCUGGUAGUCCACGCCGUAAACGAUGAUUACUAGGUGUGGGGGGACUGACCCCUUCCGUGCCGCAGCAAACGCAAUAAGUAAUCCACCUGGGGAGUACGACCGCAAGGUUGAAACCCAAAGGAAUUGACGGGGGCCCGCACAAGCAGUGGAGUAUGUGGAUUAAUUCGAAGCAACGCGAAGAACCUUACCAGGUCUUGACAUCGUAUGCAUAGCUCAGAGAUGAGUGAAAUCUCUUCGGAGACAUAUAGACAGGUGGUGCAUGGUUGUCGUCAGCUCGUGUCGUGAGAUGUUGGGUUAAGUCCCGCAACGAGCGCAACCCUUACUGUUAGUUGCUACGCAAGAGCACUCUAGCAGGACUGCCGUUGACAAAACGGAGGAAGGUGGGGAUGACGUCAAAUCAUCAUGCCCCUUAUGACCUGGGCCUCACACGUACUACAAUGGCUGUUAACAGAGGGAUGCAAAGCCGCGAGGUGGAGCGAACCCCUAAAAGCAGUCUUAGUUCGGAUUGUAGGCUGCAACCCGCCUACAUGAAGUCGGAAUUGCUAGUAAUCGCAGAUCAGCAUGCUGCGGUGAAUACGUUCCCGGGCCUUGUACACACCGCCCGUCACGCCAUGGGAGUCGGUAACACCCGAAGCCUGUAGUCUAACCGCAAGGAGGACACAGUCGAAGGUGGGAUUGAUGACUGGGGUG